GACGAACGCUGGCGGCGUGCUUAACACAUGCAAGUCGAACGGAAAGGCCCUGCUUUUGUUGGGUGCUCGAGUGGCGAACGGGUGAGUAACACGUGAGUAACCUGCCCUUGACUUUGGGAUAACUUCAGGAAACUGGGGCUCAUACCGGAUAGGAGCUCCUGCUGCAUGGUGUGGGUUGGAAAGUUUCGGCGGUUGGGGAUGUACUCGCGGCUUAUCAGCUUGUUGGUGGGGUAGUGGCUUACCAAGGCUUUGACGGGUAGCCUGCCUGAGAGGGUGACCGGCGACAUUGGGACUGAGAUACGGACCAGAAGCCUACGGGAGGCAGCAGUGGGGAAUAUUACACAAUGGGCGGAAGCCUGAUGCAGAAACGCCGCGUGCGGGAUGACGGCCUUCGGGUUGUAAACAGAUUUCGAAUGUGACGAAGAGUGAGUGACGGUAAUGGGUAAAGAAGCACCGGCUAACUACGUG
rnacentral:rRNA from 1 species